AGUUUCUAAAAUGUAGAGAGGUUAGUGCAUGAGUGCUAGGCCUUUUCUCAUCAGAAAAGAACAGGGCUUGGCCCUCCCAUGAGCCUCUGGGCCUUUACUGCUGGCUCACAGGGAUUGAGAUGUCAGCCAUACAGACCAAAGGCCAGUUUGGGUUAUAUUGUCCAGUGUACUGACUGGUUCCCCUUCCAAUCCCCUGAUAUAGAUUUCCUAUUUUAUCCUCCAUUAGGAGGAGGGCCCAGUGACCAUUCACAUAUAUCGUAUAGAUUUCAGGGUUAGCUUCAGAACAUGUAGAAGACUUGUCCAGUGUCACAUGGCUUUCAGAAGGAAAAGUCAAAUUAUGAUUUUAGAGACCCAUUGUAACAUCUGAACUGGUGCUGGGGGGAGUGCCUCACCCAGAAAGGCCAAACACCUCGAACAAUCUAGGGAAACCAGAGUAUUGUUUCCCCUGUGCUUUUUUCUCAUCCAAUGCCACCCUGUUGUCUGUCCCCAAAGCAUGGGCUUUCUCUUUGUUGUGCUGGUGUCUCUGAGCCUGCUGUUCCUGGAACACAUGUUGGGUUAUUCCUUCCGUGCUGCCUUCUUCAGCGGUUAUUAAACACUGAAGCACUUAUUCAGGUAGUCAGUAGUAUGUUUGUAUUGUCUUAGAGGUUAAGUGUCUUCUCAUGUAUUUUUCUAAAGAUUCUAUUAGCAUAUAUUAGUUAUAUAUGUUGUUCCAUUUCAUUAUUACAUUUUAUAUGCAUAUAUAAUGUAAUUUGAUCAUGUGUGCACCUAAUGGCUUCCAUGAGUCACUCUGAUGCCCUUCCUCCCUACCCCUAGAUUCCCUUUUAUUGCCUCUUGCUUGGUAUCGGUGAGACCCAGUGAGCUUAGUUAGGCUUACUUGUGUGUGUAUUGGGCCUAACUGUCCUUUUCCCUUAGCACCUGGCAACUGCCAUCAUAUCCUCUGAGAGGGGCAGAAGCUGGUGAGCCCCUCCUUCCAUGGCAGAAUGUUACAGGGCUUGAUCUUUUGCAGGAGUUUUUAAAGGAUUUUUCAUAACAUAUUAAUCACACUUGACAAAGUAUUUCACUUUUUGUAACUAAAUAAAAAAAAGAACACGGGUGUUUAAAUGGGAAAGAAAUGUCCUAAGUAAACAUAGUUUCCACAGCUACAAUGUUUGCCUUUAUAUUGUUAAUACACUGUCAUUUGAGCAAGCAGAAGAGAUGAAAUCAAGAGUAAGGAACAAAGAUUAGGUGAAGAAAAGCGCUGGAAGAAGCCACAGGCUCUGGGAGAGGCAGGAAUAUGAACUACUUGGCUGCACACAGAAGGUGGUGGUGCACUGCAUGCACAGUAAGUAAAGCAUGAACAGAAUGAAGGACACAGCACUGCAUGCACCUUGCUGCCACAUGCAGAUGGAUGUACCAUGGUGGCCUGUGGUAAUUAACGCACAAUGGUAGUGAGUGCAUGUGAAUGUACCCUGGUGGUGUGUCCGGGUGAGUGUACUAUGGUGGUAUGUGCAUUUGAAUGCCCCGUAGUGGCGUGUGCAGAUGAAUAUGGCAUGUGCAAGUGAAUGGAGCUGGGGACGGGGUAGAAAGAAAGGAGACAGUGAUGUAGGUAUUAAAGAACCUCGUGCCAGAGGUGAUAUCUCAUGUGAUGCUGGUGAGAGCACUGCAGGUGGAACUGGGCAAGGUGGUGCCUACACCCUUUCUGUUGAUAUGCCAAGAUGUGCCAUUAGUCACUAAUCCUCAGCUACCUUUCAUUCACCUUCCUGAGUCAUGCAUGAGGGAGUAUAUGUACAACUAAAAGAAGUCAGAAACUGAAUGUAAAGCCUUUUAUUGUAUGUUUACAUUUGUAUUUCUCUGUAUGUCUCUGUGUAUGUGGAACAUGUAUGUGGAUAUGCCUGUGGAGGAAACACUGUGUCAGAUACUCUGGAUCUGGAGUGUCAGAUAAUAGUAACCACCUACAUUUGCACUAUCAGGAUUCCUCCCUUCAUACAGUCAGUCCUUAGCUGGGUCCUCACUGGUCACUAACCUCAGCUCCCAGAACUCUCUCGACACUACACUGGACCCUGCAGCUGUGGGAACCCCCAUUCCAUAGUCAGGUGCCUCCUGGGGGUCCUCUGGCUUGGGGCUGUGGGGCAGAAAGUUCUCAGGUAUAGAUAUGUCCUGAACUUGAUCAAAGUCGAAGGGGUCUACUAUGAAAGCCCUAUCAUUUGUAGCAGAAGAGUGCAUGGGCCCUUCAGAGAGCAUAGGCCAGCUGGAGAUCCCUAUGUGGAAAGUGAGUGUCAGGAUGAAAGAAUGUGCAAGCUCUGCGAGAGAAUAUUGACAGAAGCAUCACCUAGGCUUUAGAAACUAAGGAAGACUGGACUACACUUCAGUGGGUUGGGCUACAGGUUAGCUAGCAAGCAAGUGGAACUGCUCUUUGGGUCAAUAAUCUAGCGCAGUUGAGGCAAUCCUCAUUAUCAAUACUCUAAGUACUAAAAUGCUCUAAUUGAAGAAACACAGGUCCUGUACUGUAAGUAUGACCAAGAACCUGUAGUUGCACAGGACCAUUGGGAAACCCAAUAUGAUUUUGCUAAAUGAAUGUAUUACAAACUGUCUUCUAAACUCAAAAGUCUCUACUCAUAGGGAAAGGAGCUCUCAGACAGCUUCAGAGAAGUUGUUUUGUACAGUGAUUGGUGGCUAAUGCAGAAACUCCCAUCUGGUUAGACUGCACAAAGUAAGUGUCUAUGGAUUGCCCACAAAACAUCAAACAUGUCACACACUCUCCCCCCAAGCUCAAGUUCCAUAACAAAAGAAGGGGAUCGAGAGAUUUGAAGAGGCAGAAGACAUUUGCACCAGAGCAAUGUAGUGUUUGAGGGACAUGACAUGGUUAUUAGACUCAUGAACACACAGUAGGUGUCUUUGCCCCUAUGAGACCUGCACAAGAUCAAGCCUGCCAGCACUCUGGCAUGGACUGAGUGGGAAUUCCUGUGCUCUUAACAGUAGGUGGUUUUUGUGGGAGAAAGAGUCCAUUUUAAGAGUAUAGCCUCUGGUAGGUCAAUCAUACUCUAGUGGAUGGUUCUACAUCCCACAGUAUGUAGAUAGCACAAAUUUUCCUUGAGUUUUGUUUAUUUUUAAAUAACAUAAAAAAGGUAUGGUGGUUUUGAGAAAAACUGUGAGGAAAGAUGUUCUAUAUUCAUUAAAUAAAAGGGUGGGGUAUGUGCGAAUAUGUUUAAAAUCAAUUAUAUAAAAUCCUCAAAGAAUUAAAUAAAUACCAUAUUGACAAACAGUAACUUAUGAUAAGGAAUAGGAAUUAGAUUGCAGCCAACCUGCCAAGUUGGAAUCAUUCUCUCCAGAGGCAAGGCUUCCUUCUACAUUAUGAAUACUUAUUGUCACUGAUGUCAGCUAUAAAAGAGAAUCAGAGAAAAGGCAUUUUGGCAAAUAGUAAUCUACAUGGAGUGUUUCUGCUACUUGAUAAAGGGUGUUCCAAUUUGCUGGAUAAUAUUUAGGACAGGGCCUGGCAAAUAAAUAAAAUCAUCACACACCCAAAGAUUCAAUGACUAUAACUAUAUGGACUAACUAUAUAUAACUCUAUGAAAGAUACAGUUAGAAUUGGCAUUUGAAACAGCAUGUGAAGCUACACAUUAAAAUUUACACUUUAAGUAUCAAAUAUAUAUUUAUAAACUUAUCCACCACCAAGAAGAAAACUAUGUUCGCAACAAUGUGAACAUGAAAGAAGAAGAAGAAGGAAAAAGAGGUGGCUGGCAAGAUGGCUCAGCGAUUAAUAGCACUGACUGCUCUUCUGAAGGUCCUGAGUUCAAAUCCCAGCAACCACAUGGUGGCUCACAACCAUCUGUAAUGAGAUCUGUUGCCCUCUUCUGCUGUGUCUGAAGACAGCUACAGUGUACUUACAUAUAAUAAUAAAUAAGUCUUUAAAAAAACAUUAUGGACAAAAACUGAGGGACAAACAGGGUGCACUCCUUCAGAAAGAGGUGAUACUUGCCUUCAUUCGUUUUCUUGGUGUCACACCAAAAGAUUCUUCAAAGCAUUCAUCUACAGAUAGUGACAAAUCAGAUGGUUUUGUUUGUUAGUAAAUAUUCCAAAGGCUCAGACUCUUGCUGAUUUAGGGAAGGCUAGAGUGGAGAGUGGGCCCAUUCAUGAAGGAGGAGCUAGUGGAGCCUGGCUCUCUUUCAUCUGACCAAUGACAGGUGCCCUUUUAGAAGUCUCCUUCUGAUUGGAUAGGAAGUGUCAGCUAAGCCACAUCACUGCAUCAUCCCCUCACAAGCUGGUAGAACACAGGGCAUUCUGACUCUCUUUGAAGGUGUUACACAUUGGCCAUUUACUUAUUAUCCAGUAUAAUGUACACAAUAAUGUUUUAGAAUUGUGCAUGACAGGAUCUUCUACAUAAUCCUCAGAGUGAGCUCUGUUCCACACAACCCUGAUCUGAACAAGAAAAGAGCUUCCUAUCACCUUAGCAUGCAUCUUGACUGAGAAGGUGCACUUUCACAGCCUCUACCUGAUCACUCACCUUCACUGUCAUGAACUUCAAUGCCUUUCACCAAGGAUUGCUUGGCCUGCUCCUUGCCACUCAUGAAGACUGGUUGGUUCACGGUGACCCCUAAGAGGAAGCAGAGUGCUUGUUCUUUAACAGGCAGUGCAAUGAGGGGAUAUGCUGCUAAGAGCUGUGCUGCAGCCCAGAUCUUAAGGCCCAUAAGAGGCCGGCACUCUAUUGCCUAUGAUCUAUGCUGUCAGCUCUGAAAAGGGUGGAAAAGAGCUGCUGCAGGCUCGACAAGCACCUUGACAUUACUCAGUAAAGAAAGGUAUUGUGGGAGAGGGCCCUGCUACAGGUUGAGAAGAUUGGCAUAGCAAACAACCUGGAACCCCCCAGACUGGUCUGAACCCAGAUUUCAUCUUAUCUUGGCCGGUCAUUCUGGUGUAGUUUCUUUUCAUGUACAUGUAGGCACUUUUCUGCCAUUCAGUCAGCUUUCCCCACUCUUCACCAGAGAAGUAUGUAGAAAUAUCCUGGAAGGCCUGGAAAAGAAGGGAAUGAAAACUCUGGCAACUGCUCUGCUGGAUGUCUGUGCCAUUCAUCCCAGAAUGCCCUUUGUGGUGGAGGACUUAGUGGUCCACCAGAAAAUCAAGACAAUCGAUCCUGGGACAUAUGAGGGUUGAGUGAGAGACAGCCUUUUCCCCAGCCACUAUAAAUGCUCAAUGCUGCUCAUGUGUUCUCCUCCCUCACUUACAAGGGACUGAGUGUCACCAAAUGAAUGUAGGACUAGGUCACUAAUCUGAAGUCCUCAUGGAGGCUGUAGAAGGACUCAUGGAGCAUUUGUGCAUGGAGAGAAAACCUGAGACUUAUGGAGGUCCAGUGGAGACUGUAGUCCUUGUCCCAAGUGCCUCUGAUUUCCACCUUCUGGUUUAGUUUACUGGGACAUCCCCGAGGAAGAACCUACCUCAGACAGGAAGGGACAAAGGAGUGUUUCUCCAAGAAGAGACCCAAAUAAGCACCUUGAUUCAGCUGUUACUAGAGACUCAGCAACCAGGCAACCAAACCCUUUGAAUUCCUCAGGGAACUGAUGGAGGAAAUGCGGUAAGAACGGAAUGUUGGAGCCCAGGGUUUCAGGCAGGAAGUACAUCACCAAAGGGAUGUACUAAAUAUCCCCACUAUAAUAUAAUGAUCCCAACCCCCACGGCAUUGUUACUCCUGGAUCUCUUUACCUGUUGAAACGUGAAUUCCUCUGGAUACCUGGCCUUUCCCUUAUAUCUAGACUACUGUCUACUGUGCAGUUGUUUUUCUAAAAAAAAAGACUAGCCACAUCUUUCUUUUCUGUCUUCCUUAGACAUUCUACCCUGGGACCUCUUUACAAUAAACCCACAACAUUGAAAUUAUUUAUUAAAGGAAAGUUUAGAGUUGAAAUUAUUCCUAUAUGUGCUCUUUCUCCAAAGACCCAAGAGCUUGUUUUCUGUGAAAUUCUUAUGAAUAAUAGCAAAACAGUCUGCUUAUGAUUAGAGUUUAUAAUGCUUUUUAAAGGGUUCCCAAGUGCUUCUGUUAGGAAGGCUUCUCUACUCAAAUGGCAUGUGCCUCCAUUCCUCCUUAAUGCUAUGUAGACUUUGCAUUCUGAGGACUGCUCUGUCAAUAAUGUCCUGCUCAGAAUGACUGAGACUUUUUUUCUGGCAAGGCAAUGGUCCAUGGACCUUGGGACCAGCAUUAAAACUUCAACUGCAUAUUCUCCUUAUGUUUUCUUCUUAAACAUUUAUAAUAAUUAAUUUUAAGUCAUAUUACAAAGGAAUGGCUUCCCCCACAGCCCACAGUCAGCAUUUUCUUAAAUGGAGAGCAAUGUGAAGCAGUCCCUCUAAAAACAUAAGUCAGGGCUGUCCACUGUCCCCACUCCUUUUCCAUAUAGUGCCUGAAACAGUAACUGCAGACAAAGUUACUUCAUUUUAAUCAAGGGAUCAAUCAAUUAAUAAAAUACUAUAAUACUAUGCAAAAUAUGCACAAAACUCUGGUGCAGCCAAUUUCAUUAAAUCAUAUUAAUGGAAUUAAAACUCCAGAUUAACACAAACUUCAUAAUAGGAAGCAAUUUCAGCACUCCAGUUUCUGCUAUAGAUGGGACAUCUGGACCAAAAAUAAAGAAAGAAACAGAUACUUCAGAACUCAAUGACCCCUUUUAUCAAAUGGACCUAAGAGAUAUCUACAGAAUAUUCAAACCAAACACCAAGAAUACACAAAUAUACAUGCUACUCCGCAUCACAAUGCACAUUUUCUACAGUGGAGCACUUGCUGUAACACAAAACUUAGUAAUUGCAGAAAAAUUGAAAUAAUUCCACAUAUCCUGCCCAGCCAUUGUGCAAUAUCCUUAAGAUGAAUAGUAAACAAAACCCUACUAAGUAUAUACACUCAUGGAAAUUAACAGUUCAUGACUGAAUGAUAAAGGGGUCAAACAAGAAAAUUAAGUAUUCUUGGAACUAAGUAAACCAGAAUCACAACACGACAAACCAUUUGGGAAACAGUAAAAGCACUUUUAAGAGGAAAGUUUAUAGCCCUAAGUGUCUACAUUUAACAAAAAAAAGAGUGCAAUCAAAUGACUUAUUAUGCAACACAAGAAUUUGGAAAAAAAAACCAAAGUCAAACUCAGUACAUAUUAAGAGGUAAUCAAUUUUUAGAAAUAAGGUGAAAGGUUUGGAGAGAUGGUUCAGUGGUGAAGAGCACUGUCUCCUCUUCCAGAGGUCCUGAGUUCAAGUCCCACCAACCACAUGGAGGCUCACAACCAUCUAUAAUGGGAUCUGAUACCCUCUUUUUGUGUGUCUGAAGACAGAGCCCUCAUGAAUAUAAAAUAUAUAAUGUUUUAACAAAUCAGGCGACAAAGGAAGUCAACUAUCCAGGCCUAGUGAGUUCAUGAGAAGAACCUAUAUUACAAGUUUAUUAAGUCAGCACAAAACCCAACUAUAUUUUUCCUUAUUUAUUCACUUUACAUCCAAAUUCUGCCCCUUGUCCUCCCAGUCCUCUCCCUCACACAGUUCUUCCUCCCAACCCCCUCUCCUUCGCCUUUGAGAGGGUGGAGCCCCCUCAGUAUCCCCAAAUGCUUACACAUCAAAUCUCUGCAUAGCUAGGUACAUGCUGUCUCACUGAGGCCAGACAAGUCAGCCCUGUUGUGGAACAGUUUCACAGACAGGCAGUAGAUUGAGGGAAAGCCCCUCCUCCAGUUGUUGGGGGAUCAGCAUGAAGACCAAGCUGCAUAUCUGCUACAUAUGAGCACAGAGGCCUAGGCACAGUCUGUGUGUGUUCUUUGGUUGAUAGUACAGUUUCCGGGAACUGCCAAAGGUUAGUUGAAUCUAUUGCUCUUAUUGUGAAGUUCCUAUCCCCUUCAGGGACUUCAAUCCUUCCGUACCUCUUCCAUAAGAGUCCCUGACUUCCAUUUGGUGUUUGGCCAUAGAUUUCUGCAUCUGUUUCAGUCAGCUUCUGGAUACAGACUCUCAGAGGACACUAAUGCUAUGCUCCUCUCUGCAAGCAAAACAGAGUAUCAUUAAUAGUUUCAAGGAUUGGUGCUUGUCUAUUUGAUGAGUCUCGUUGGGCUUGUUAUUGCUUGGACAUUCCUUCAGUCUCUGCUCCAUAUUUUGUCCCUUUCUUUUUGUAGACAGGAAAAAUUUGGGGUUAAAAGUUUUGAGGGUAGAUCAGUGUCCUUAUCACUCCACCAAGGGUCCUGUCUGUCUAAAGGAGAUGACCACCUCAGGUUCCAUAUUUCCACUGCUAGGAGUCUCAACUAAAAUUGGCCCAAUAGAGGCUCCUGGGUGCCUCCCCAAUCCUGGGUCUCUGGCUGGUCGUAGAGAUGCCCCCAUCAGAAUGAUACUUUUAAUUAUUUAUUUGCAUCCCAAAUGUUGCCCUCCUCCCAGUAAACUCCCCUUUCCCCCACCCUAGGCAUCCCCCAAUCCUGGCGCAUCAUGUCUCUACAGGAUCAGGUAUGACCUUUCUCACUGAGACCAGACAAGGCAGUCCUAUGUUUGAGAUAGAUAGAUAGAUAGAUAGAUAGAUAGAUAGAUAGAUAGAUAGAUAGAUAGAUAGAUAGAUAGAUAGAUAGAUCAGGGGCCUUGAACCAGCCUGUGUAUGCUCUUUGGUUGGUAGCUUGGUCUUGGGGAGCUCUGAGGGAUUCAGGUUAAUUGACACUGUUAGUAUUUCUAUGGGGUUCCAAUCCCCUACAUGUCCUUUACUCCUUUCCCUGACUCUUCCAUUGGGGUCCCCAAGCUAAGUCCAAUGGUUGGCUGUAAGUAUCUGCAUCUGUCUCAGUCAGCUGCUGGUAGAGCCUCUCACAGGAUAGCCAUGCCAGGCUCCUGUCUGCAAGCAUAACAUGGCAUCAGUAAUAAUGUCAGGGAUUGGUGCCCACCAUAAGAUGGAGCCCAAGUUGGGCUGGUCACUGAACAAGCUUUCCUUCAUAUUCUGGUCUACUUUUGUUCCUGCAUUUCUUUUAGAUGGGUCCAAUUCUGGAUCAAAACUUUUGAAAGUGGGUUGGUGACCCUACCCCUCCACUGCAGACCAUGUCUAUCUACUGGAGGUAGUAGCUUUAGGUUAUAUCUCCCUAGUGUUGGGCAUUUCAGCUAAUUUCAUCACAAUUGAGUCCUGGGAGACUCACAUCCCAGGUCUCUUGGACUUUCUAGAGGUUCCCCCUAUUUCCACCCCAGCAGUAGCAUAUUUCCACUCUCCUGGCUUUCUGGCCCUGUCUCCCCCAAUACCUGAUCCUGCCCCCCGCUUUUUCCUCUCCCCUGCCCCUCUCCCACCUAGGUACCUCUUCUCCCUCUGCCUCCAGUGAUUAUCUUCUUCCUUCUUUUAAGUGAGAUUGAAGCAUCAUCACUUGGGCCUUCUUUCUUGUUAAACUUCUUACACUCUGUGUUUUAUCCUAGGGAUUCUGUACUUUUGGGCUAAUAUCCACUUAUUAGGAGAGAACCAGCUAGACAAAUGUAUUGUCUGACAUGCACAUAGUGGCAUGUACACACACAUAAGCACAUUAGAAAUGUAUGUAGUGGUAGUAGUAAUUAAUAACAAUAAAUGAUUUUAAGAUCCACUAGACCUUCGGCCCCUUCUCCAACGGUUUUUGGUACUUAUCAUCAUCCUACCUACUUCUGAUGGACUCUGUCCUUCCAUGUUUAUAUGGGUUCAAAGGACCCAACUCAAAUGGUCAGGCUUGCUCUGUACGAGUCAUUUUGGCUGAGCCCUCUCUCUCUGUGGCAAGGAAACCAUAUUCUGCAGUACAAUUUAAGUGUCUACAGUUUUUAAGCAGUUAUGGUAAGUGUCUAGUGACUAAUGCCACAACAUAAGAUUCUAUUUUUUCUCUUUUUUUCAAUUAAUUAAUUGUCUGACAUGCACAUAGUGGCAUGUACACACACAUAAGCACAUUAGAAAUGUAUGUAGUGGUAGUAGUAAUUAAUAACAAUAAAUGAUUUUAAGAUCCACUAGACCUUCGGCCCCUUCUCCAACUGUUUUUGGUACUUAUCAUCAUCCUACCUACUUCUGAUGGACUCUGUCCUUCCAUGUUUAUAUCCUUUUCAGUCAAGAUGCCUGAGUAGGUUAUACACAGCUCCCUUCUUCUUCUUCACCCAUGGCCAGGUGGACAGGAUUUCAUUUGGAGGAAUAUCUGGAAGGCAUAUCACAUAAAAUUCUACAACAAGAAUAAAGAAUGCAUAUUAUUAUAGAUAAUGAGUGAGUGGUAAACAUAUACCACAUUCAGUUUGAAUGCUCACUGUCCUGUGUUCCAUCCUAAUGCAGUCACAUGCCAUCCUAUGUACACACAUGCAGACACUUAUUUUUCCAUGUUUUACAGAAAUAACAGUUGGAAGAGGGAGGAGAGUCGUUCAGGUGUCUUCAGCAGUGAGCCUUGCUCUCAUUGGGAAAUGCAGUCUGUAGUCUUAGCAACCAACAGGGUUGUUUGGGAUUCCCAUGGCCAACAACACAAUUAGAUAUAACCCGGUUCUGGUACCAGAAGGUCCAUUUGGUGGUAAGAGAUGCCAGUUGGGACUCUUUCCUAUUAUAUGGCAAUUUCGCUUAGAUUUCCAUACAUACAUACAUAUAUGACUACCACUCAAAUGCCCCUUAAUGUUAGAUGCCUUUCCCAAUAUUGCAUCACACUAUCUUCUAUCCCCUUUCCCUCCCCACUUGAUCCUUCCAUUCUAGCUCUACAUAUCUAUCAGUAAUUAUUUAUUCUGUCUCCCUUUCCUAAUGAGAAGCAUCUGUCCCCUCUGGUCCCUUAUAGUACACCUACUAUAAUAUUGUUAAUACUACUAUAGUCUCUGGUUCUUAGGUAUCAUUAACUUCACAGCUAAUAUAUGCAUACAAGUGAAUAUAUACCAUAUUUUUCUUUCUGGAUCUGGAAUACAUCACUCAUGUAUUCCUAAGUUCUGUCCAUUUGACUGCAAAUUUUAUGAUAUCAUUUUUAAGAGCUGAGUAAUUCCCCAUUGUGUAAAUGUACCAUAUUUCCUUUAUCCAUUCUUCUGUUGAAGGACAUCUGAUUUGUUUCCAAGUUCUUGCUAUUAUGAAUACAGCAGCAUAUAACAUGGUUGUGUAAAUGUCCUUCUGAUAGGAUGGAGCAUCCUUUAGAUAUAUACUCAAGAGUAGUAUAGCUGGAUUUUGAGGUAGAUCAACACCCACAUUCCCGAGGAACUGUCACCCUGAUUUCCAUAGUCACUGCACAUGUUUGCACUGCCACUAGCAAUGGAUAAGUUUUCCUCUUCUUAUUCCAUGAACUGUCAUGUAUUUUGUUGAUCUUAGCCAUUCUGACAAGUGUAAGAUGGAACCUCAUGGUUUUGAUUUGCAUUUCCCUAAUGGCAAAGGAUGAUGAACAUUUCUUUAAGUGUUUCUCGGCUGUUUGUGUUUUUUCUACUGAGCAUUCUGUUUAGAUCUUUCCCCCGUUUUAAUUGGAUUAUUUGGUUUUCUCAUUUUGAAUUUUUGAGCACUUUAUAUAUUUUGGAUAUUGACCCUCUGUAUAUUCAGCGUUGGUGAAUAUCUUUUCCCAUUCUGUGGGCUGCCACGUUGUCUGAAUGAUUGUCUUUUGCCUGAUAGAAGCCUCUCAGUUUAUUAGGUCCCACUGACUGUUGAUCUUAGAGCCUGGAGUGUUCUGUUCAGAAAAUCGUCUCCUGUGACAAUAAGUUCAAGGGUUCCCCAACACUCUCUCUCUCUCUCUCUCUCUCUCUCUCUCUCUCUCUCUCUCUCUCUCUCACUCUCUCUCAUAUCUCAUAUCAGUGUAUCUGGCUUUCUGUUGAGGUCUUGUAUUGAAGCAUUUGGGCUUGAAUUUUCUACAGAGUGAUAGAUGUGGUAUACUUAGAUUCUUCUGCAUGCAGACAUCCAGUUUGCAAUUUGACAUCACCAUUCAAUGAAGAUGCUGUCAUCUUUCCAGUUUUUGAUUUUGGCCUCCUUACCAAAGAACAUGUGUCCAUGGGUGUGUGGCUUUGUGUCUAGGUCUUCAAUUAGAUUUCAUUAAUCAACCUGUCUGUUUUUAUGCCAAUAACAUGCUGUUUUAAUUACUCUACUUCCCUAGUACAUCUUGAAGUUGGGAAUAAUGAGACCUCCAGCAGUUCUUUUAUUCUUCAGGAUUGUUUUAACUAUCCUGUGGGUUUUGUGUUUCCAUAUGAACCUGAACAUUGUUCUUUUAAUGUCUAUAAAGAAUUGUGUUACAAUUUUGAUGGGUUCUGUAUUGAAUCUGUAGAUUGCUUUCAAAAGAAUGUUCAUUUUUACCAGUUAAUGAUGACGGGAUCGAUUUCCAUGUUCGAAUAAAGAAGACUUUAAUUUCUUUCCUCAAUGACUUGACGUUUUUAUCGUCCAAGUCUUUCACUUGCUUGGUUAGAGUUACCCAACAAUAUAUUUUUUGGUGUUAUUGCAAAGGGCGUUGUUUCUCUGAUUUCUUGCUCAGUCCAUUUGUCAUUUGUAUAUAGGAGGGCUACUGAUGUUUUUGGGUUAGUUUUGUAUUCAGAUACUUUGCUGAAAAUGUUUAUGUGCUGUAGAAGUUUCCUGGUAUAAUUUUUAGGGUCACUCAUAUAUACUAUUGUGUCAUCUGCAAAUGCAGAUACUUUGACAUCUUCCUUUCCAAUUUGUUUCCCCUUGAUCUCCUUCACUUGUCUUUUUAUUGAUGUAGCUAAGGCUUCAAGCUAUUGAACAGGUAAGGAGAGAGUGGACAACCUUGUCUUAUUCCUUAUUUUAGUGGAAUUCCUCUGAGUUUAAACUGCUUUUUUAUGUUGAGGUAUGCCCCUUGUAUCCCUAACCUCUCCAGGACUUUUAUAAAGUGGUGUUGGAUUUUGUCAGAGGUAUUUUCUGCAUCUAAUGUAGUGUUUAAUCUUUGAGGUGGCUCAUAUGGUGCAUUACAUUUAUCUAUUCAUGUAUGUUUGACCAUGCUUACAUCUCUGGGAUGAAGCCUGCCUGAUCAUGGUGCUUGAUCUUUGUGAUGUGUUCUUGGAUUUGAUUUGCAAGUAUCUUGUUGAAUAUUCUUGCCUGUAUGUUUUUAUAGGAGAAAUUAGUCUGUAAUCCUCUUUUGUUGUUAGUUUUUUAUGUGGUUUGUGUAUCAGAGUAAUUGUGGCCUUAUAAAAUGAAUUGGGCAGUGUUCUUUCUGUUUCUGUUUUGUGGAAUACUCUGAGGAGUAUUGGCAUUAACUCUUCAUUAAAAGUCUAGGGAAGGGCUGGAGAGAUGGCUCAGCAGUUAAGAGCACUUACUGCUCUUCCAAAGGUCCUGAGUUCAAUUCCCAGCAACCACAUGGUGGCUCACAAGCAUCUGCAAUGAGAUCUGAUGCCCUGUUCUGGUGUGUAUGAAGACAGCUACAGUGUCCUUACAUAUAAUAAAGAAAUAAAUCUAAAAAAAAAGUCUGGAGAAAUGGCUCUGUAGUAGCUGCUUUUUCAGAGGACCAGGCUCAAUUCCCAACACCUACAUGAUGGCCCACAACCAUAUCUAACUCCAAAUCUGGUGGAUAUACUGCUGACUUCUGAAUGCAUCAGGCACACUGGCAUUUCACAGAUAUUCAUACAGGUAGAAUACUCGCAUAAAUAAGAUAAUAAAGUUAAUUUUAAAAACGAGUCUGGUGGCACUCUGUGCCAAAAUCAUCUGGCCCUGGAAUUUUGGGGAGUGGUGGGAUAUUUUAAUGACUCCUUCUAUUUCAGUUGGAGUUACACAUCUAUCUAGUUUGCUUAUCUUGAUUUAACUUUGGUACGUGGGAUGCACAGAGAAAAUUAUCAAUUUCUUUUGGAUUUUCCAAUUAGGUGAAAUACAGAUUUUAAACUAUGUCUUGAUUUUUCUGUGGAUUUCCUUGGUUCUGUUGUCAAAUCUCUCUUUAAUUUCUAAUUUUUUUAUUUGAACAUUCUCUCCUCAUCUUUUAAUUAAUUUUGUAUAAGGGUUUUUCUAUCUAUAACUUUCCAAAGAAUUUUGUUUCAUGGAUUCUUUGUGUUGCCUUGUUUUGUUCUAUCUUAUCUAUUUCUGCCCUGAAUUUGACUAUUUCUUUCCAUCUACUUCUUUGCAGUGUGAUCUCCUCUUUUUGUUCUAGAGUUUUCAAUUGUGUGUUUUUUAUAUACGGACUAAUGCUAUAAAUAACACCUUUAAAACUGGCUUCAAUGCAUUCCAUAAGUUUGUGUAUGUUGUAUAAUCGUUUUCAAUCAGUUCUGCAAAGUCUUUAAUUUCUUGAUUUCUCUUUUGAAUCAUAUAGUGGUUUGAAUGACAAUGCCCCCAGCCCCACAGACCUAUAGAUUUGAAUACUGAUUACAAGGGAGUGGCACUAUAUGAGAGAGAUUAGGAAGUGUGGCCUUAUUGAAGAAAUUAUGCCACUGGAAGUAGGAUUUGAUGGUUCAAAUGCCCACACCAGACCCAGUGUCUUGCUUUCUCUCCUCACCCCCUCUCGCUCCUGCUGCUCCCUGGGGAUCAUGAUGUAACACUCUCAGCUAAUUCUAUACCAAUGUGUCUGUCGGAUCACCACAGUGUUGGUAAUGGGCUGAUACUCUGAAUUAGCCCCUAAUUAAAUGUUGACUUUUAUAAGUGUUGUCUUAGUUAUGGUGUUUCUUCAUAGUAAUACAACAAUAACUAAGACAAAGACACCAAAAUUUUUGCCUCUGAGUAAAGUUGAAUUAAUUAUGAAAAAAUCUUUAAAAAAUAAGAAAAAGCUUGAAUUUUGUGCUGGAUAUACCAGUUUGGAUAACCUGGAGUCUAGCUCUCCUUCCCAGCCAAGACUGUUCCUGGAGAACAUCCAUGUACACCCUGCCCCCUGCUGGACAAAUUCUUAUCUGCAGGCUCCUCACAAACAGCACAGAAAGGCUAGGACAAUGCAGAGAACAAGGUAAGGGACUCAUCUCUGUUCUUUAGAGGCUGAAAGAAACAGGCUGACUCUCCAGAGGUGCCCCUGAGACAAAAUAUACCCAGCUAUUUGGAAUCACUUGGCACCUGCACUUUAGCCUCCAGAGACACCACCACACGUGCAUCUCAGUCGUCAGAAUCAUCACCAUCUUCUGAAACAGUCAAACUGUUCCUGGAGGAUAGAGAAUCCAAGGAUCACCCAAAACAGUGCAUUCACCUGGACAUGCCACCACGGUGCAUUCACCUGGACAUGCCACCAUGGUGUGUUCAUCUGCACUCACUACCAUUGUGCGGUCAUCACCACAGGCCCUAUGGUACGCUCAUCUGCACAUGACACUAAGGUGCAUGCAGUGCUGUGUCCUUCUUUCUGUUCAUGCUUUACUUACUGUGCACGCAGUGUACCACCAACUUCUGUGUGCAGCCAUGUAUUUCAUAUUCCAGCCUCUCCCAGAGCCUGUGGCUUCUUCCAGCGCUUUUCUUCACCUAAUCUUUGUUCCUCACUCUUAAUUACAUCUCUCCUGCUUGCGCAAAUGACAGUGUAAUAACAAUAUAAAGGCAAAUAUUGUAACUCUGGAAACUAGGUUUACUUACGACAUUUUUUCCCAUUUAAACACCCGUGUACUUUUUUUUAUUUAGUUACAAAAAGUGAAAUAAUUUGUCAAGUGUGAUUAAUAUGUUAUGAAAAAUCCUUUAAAAACACCUGCAAAAGAUCAAUCCCUUUAACAUUCUGCCAUGGAAGGAGGGGCUCACAAGCUUCUGCCCCUCUCAGAGGAUAUGAUGGCAGUUGCCAGGUGCUAGGGGAAAAGGCCAAUGACACCCAAUGCACACAUAAGUAAGCCUAACUAAGCUCACUGGGUCUCACCGAUACCAAGCAAGAGGCAAUAAAAGGGAAUCUAGGGGUAGGGAGGAAGGGCAUCGGAGUGACUCAUGAGAGCCAUUAGGCGCACACAUGAUCAAAUUACAUUAUAUAUGCAUAUAAAAUAUAAUAAUGAAGUGAAACAACAUAUAUAACUAAUAUAUGCUAAUAGAAUCUUUAGAAAAAUACAUGAGAAGACACUUAACCUCUAAUACAAUACAAAUAUACUACUGACUACCUGAAUAAGUGCUUCAGUGUUUAAAAACUGCUGAAGAAGGUAGCAGGGGGAGGAAUAACCCAACAUGUGUUUCAGGAGCAGUAGACUCAGAGACACCACACACCCAAGAGAAAGCAAAUGCUUUGGGGACAGACAAUAGGAUGGCAUUGGAUGAGAGGAAAGUAGAGGGGAAACAAUACUCAAGUUUCCCUGGAAUGUUUGAGGUGUUUGGCCUUUCUGGGUGAGGUCCAGAAAGGUGGUGGUCCCCCCAGCACCAGUUCAGAUGUUAGAACAGGUCUCUAUAAUCAUAAUUUGACUUGUCCUUCUGAAAUUCAUGUGACACUGGACAAGUUUUCUACAUGCUCUGAAACUAACCCUGAAAUCUAUACAAUAUGGAUGGUCAUUGGGUCCUCCUCCUAUUAGAGGAUAAAAUAGGAAAUCUAUUUCAGGGGAUGGGGAUGCUAAUGGGGACAAGACAGUACUGGACAAUAUAACCCAAGCUGGCCUUUGGUCUAUAUUCCUGUAUGGCUGAUAUCUCAAUUUCUGUGAGCCAGCAGUAAGGCCCACGGGCUCAUGGGAGGGCCAAGCCCUGUUCUUUUCUGAUGAGAAAAGGCCUAGCACUCAUGCACUAACCUCUCCACAUUUUAGAAACUGAUGGCAUUCAGGUCAAUGUUUGGAGCCACCGGCUGCGAGAGAGGAAGUAUCGAGUGAUAUAUUCAGAGAUUAGUGAUCCUGAAGAGGAAGAAGAUGAUGAUUACUGAACUGACAGUGGAAAUAAGUCCAAGUUGGAAGAAGGAUGGAGUGGCGAUUCAACAUCACAUCUCCAGUUUGAAAGACUAAAUAUCAGCAGUAUAGAUACAUACAUUUAUUUAUAUAUUUAUUUAUUAUAUACAUUUGUACCUAUAUUUAUUUAUUUAUAAAAGUCUACUAGAAGUCUGAGUUAAGCAUGUGUCAUGUGUUUGUUCUCUUAGCAAUUUUGUAGGAUAUGCCAAACACUGUUAGGAGUCUUUUUCCGUCGUGCCAAACAUGUCUUACUGUGUGACAGCCACUCUGGCAGAAUACCAAUGUUGCAAGCAGGCUAAAUGGCUCAGUGAUAAAGGAUCCUGCUGUCAGACUUGAGUUUAAUCUUAAGGACCUACAUGGUGGACACAGAGAAAUGACUCCCUCUCAGUGUCCUUUGCUAUUCACAACUGAACGCAUUUGUGUGUGCACACACAUACACACAUAUCUAUGCAUACAAGCACAAAAUAACUCAUAAAACAAGUGGAAAUAUAAUAAGCCUAUCAACAUUCCAUUUAGCAAGGCAUAUACCUAAUGCAUAUUGCUGGUUUUGUGCCCUCUACUUUUAUGAGGAAUUGUGUGUCAGCUAUCAUUGCACUGAAGCACACUGCCCUCCCCUUGCCUAGGACUGAAAAGCAGCUAUUUGUCUAUGUCAACAUGUUUCUCUGUCUCUCACACACAUAUACAAGUCAUCACUAGGGACACCUGUUACCUGCCAUGCUACACUAGAAAUGUGUCUACUUCCAACUAUCUAGUUUUAUUGUUUGGCUAGGAUACACUUUCUUCCCUGUUUGCACAAAGGUGACAAAUCCAAAUUCUGUGAUGUGGUAGAAUCUGGCUUUGCUUGACAACACAUAGUAUCUUCAUCUACCAAAGAACCUGAGGUUCAGUGUAGAGAGAGGCUCAUGCCUAUGAAGAUCAAAAGUUAUUUUUUUAACCCUCUAAUUUUAGCUUUGUGGGAAUAAAUGUAAUGUCUGAUUCUAGGGAAUGAACCCAGGUCCUCUGCAUUGCAAGGCAAGGGCUCAGCAUUGAGCUGCACUGGACUAGCUGUAUUGCUUCAUUGUUGACAGAAUCCUGAAAGAAAGUUAACGCAGAAAGUUUACUAUGGGCUUACACUUUCAGUGGGCUCAGUUGAUAGAUGAAUUUUCCAUACAUGCAGCAUAUGAAGGGACGAUGUUUUUCCCUUCAUCUUGGAUUAGGGUGGCCCACAAGGAAUAUAGGAAGGGCCCAAGGCAAGAAACAGACUCAAGUACAUGAUUCUAAUGAGCUAAUUCCUCAAGCAUCCUUGUCUCCCACAUAACUACCAUGAUCAUGUGACAUUGCCAACAGAUUUGCUUGGGAAUUAGAUGAGAGAUCUCACAACAUAAUUACUUUCAGAAAUGUUCUCAUACAAGGGGAAAAGUGGAGCUUUUCCUACUAUGUCCCAGACUUCACUGAAUCACUCAGACUAUCAAAACUAACACACAUAUUCAGUUGUUUGUGUCAUUUCCAGAUGAGGUUUCACUAAAUCACCUAGGCUGGCAUCAAAUUUGCAGUUGUCCUCUGUCAAAUUCCAAGUCAUCAGGAUCAGAGCUUCUCCUGGGCUAUAAUCAAUAUCUUUCACUUUAUUUUUGUUCACUGAUAUAGGUUCCAUUAUGCAUCCCAGGCUAUACUGGAACUCACUUUAUAGCCCAAUUGUGGUAUUUGUGCCCCACGCACUCUCUGGAGUAUUGGGCUUACAAGAGUAGACUACUGCACAUAGUGUGUGAAUACAUUUAUAAGUGAGUUUAACAUUGACCUAGAUCCCUAGAACAAGAUUUAGGGAGCAACAAGGUAAGGAAGACAGUAGGGUCAUCACAAAGAAAGUGUUGUGAGCAGGACUCACCAAACUCACAAUAAAGAAUACUCCUCGGGGGCUGGUGAGAUGGCUUAGUGGUUAAAGUGCUGACUGCUC